rnacentral:rRNA from 1 species
ACGUAGGGUGCGAGCGUUAAUCGGAAUUACUGGGCGUAAAGCGUGCGCAGGCGGUUAUAAAACAGAUGUGGAAAAUCCCCGGUCCCAACCGGGGCAGCGUUUUUGAGACUGUAUGACUAGAGUGUGGCAGAGGGGGGUGGAAUUCCACGUGUAGCAGUGAAAUGCGUAGAGAUGUGGAGGAACACCGAUGGCGAAGGCAGCCCCCUGGGCCAAUACUGACGCUCAUGCACGAAAGCGUGGGGAGCAAACAG